UACAAGAUCCCUACGAAAAGUAAAAACGAGCGAGAAAAAUUAAAAAAAAAACCAAAAACUCGAUCACAAUAACAAUAAUUCUACAAAAAAAAAAAAACAAAAGGAAAAGUAGAUACAAAAUACACGUCGUUUUCAUCUCAAAUUUUCUACGAAAAAUUUUAAAAAAAUGAAAAAAAAACCUCCUCGAUCUCUAAUAUCUUCAUUGUUACUUGUGAAAACUACA
rnacentral:lncRNA from 1 species